rnacentral:lncRNA from 1 species
AUAGAGGGACACAGUAGAGGCUGAGCAAAUGCCUGUGUGUACUUGCCUGAAGAAGAAUCCACAAAUGGGUGACUAAAUGAAUCAAAGAGGUGUGGACUGUGUUUUAGAAAUGAACUAAUUGCAAAUGUCUACUCUUUUCAGAAGGCAGCCCUCAGAAAUCUGGGAAAUUCUCUCCUAUGGAUGAUCACAGGUUCUGGGAUGCAGAGCAAACAGGGAGCUAAUGGAAGCACUUAGGAUGAUAGAAUUCUCACUUCAUGAAAACAUGUUUGAUUGUGGGUCCCAGUAAAGAUGUCCCAGUUCUCGGCCAGAAUCUUUUCUGAAGACUGAGCUGGAGGAGUACCUGUUCUGGAAUGGUCUCAAAUGCAACCUGCAGGUUUGGCCCCCUGGAGGAAGUGAGAAGAAUGGAGAUGAACACGUUUCUUGUGUCAUGUCCUCAUUCUGCCCAAGACACACCUACCCGGACCAUGCCAUCUUGACUCCCGGUGAUGAUGAUCUGGCUUGCGUCCCAUGCUGGGCCCUCCAUGAGGCAGCAGCAGGUUAUGGCUCCUUCUGGGCCCCAGGCUGUGGUGAUGCUGGCCAGGGGCUGUCCAUUGACAUUCCAUAGGGACAAGUGUGCUCCCGCACAGGAGACAAUGGUGCCCUGUGCAGUGAGAGCUGGCAUCACUCUAAGCUGGAGUCACUGCCUGCCCAUCAGCCACUUGCUCAGCUACCCAGUUGGUACACCCAAGCACUCUCAAUCUGUCAUGCUCUGAAGACCCCC